AUUGAACGCUGGCGGCAUGCCUAACACAUGCAAGUCGAACGAGUGGCGGACUGGUGAGUAAUGUCUGGGAAACUGCCUGACGGAGGGGGCUAACUACUGUAAACGGUAGCUAAUACCGCAUACCAUCAGAUGUGCCCAGUUGGGAUUAGCUAGUUGGGGGGGUAACGGCUCACCAAGGCGACGAUCCCUAGCUGGUCUGAGAGGAUGACCAGCCACACGGGAACUGAGACACGGUCCAGACUCCUACGGGAGGCAGCAGUGGGGAAUAUUGCACAAUGGGCGAAAGCCUGAUGCAGCCAUGCCGCGUGAAUGAAGAAGGCCUUCGGGUUGUAAAGUACUUUCAGCGGGGAGGCGUUACCCGCAGAAGAAGCACCGGCUAACUCCGUGCCAGCAGCCGCGGUAAUUC
rnacentral:rRNA from 1 species